CCUACGGGAGGCAGCAGUAGGGAAUCUUCCGCAAUGGACGAAAGUCUGACGGAGCAACGCCGCGUGAGCGAAGAAGGUCUUCGGUACGUAAAGCUCUGUUGUUAGGGAAGAACAAGUACGGGAGGAAAUGACCGUACCUUGACGGUACCUAACGAGGAAGCCACGGCUAACUACGUGCCAGCAGCCGCGGUAAUACGUAGGUUGCAAGCGUUGUCCGGAAUUAUUGGGCGUAAAGCGCGCGCAGGCGGUCUUUUAAGUCGGAUGUGAAAUCUUGCGGCUGAACCGCAAGCGUUCGUUGGAAAGUGGGAGACUUGAGUGCAGGAGAGGAAAGCGGAAUUCCACGUGUAGCGGUGAAAUGCGGAGGGAUGUGGAGGAACACCAGUGGCGAAGGCGGCUUUCUGGUCUGUAACUGACGGUGAGGCGCGAAAGCGUGGGGAGCAAACAGGAUUAGAUACCCCAGUAGUC
rnacentral:rRNA from 1 species